AUUGAACGCUGGAGGCAGGCUUAACACAUGCAAGUCGAGCGAGCGGCGGACGGGUAAGUAAUGACUGGGACAAGGCGUGAUGGAGGGGGACAACAACUGGAAACGGAAACUAUUACCGUAUAGCAUCAGAUGUGCCCAAUUUGGAUGAGCGAGUAGUUGGGGAAAUGGCUAACCUAGGUGACGAUCCCUAGCGGGUCUGAGAGGAUGACCAGUCACACUGGAACUGAGACACGGUCCUGACUCCUACGGGAGUCAGCAGUGGGGAAGAUUGCACAAUGGGAGCAAGCCUGAUACAGCCAUGCCGCGUGUGUGAAGAAGGCCUUCGGGUUGUAAAGCACUUUCAGCGAGGAGGCGUGACUCGCAGAAGAAGCACCGGCUAACUCCGUGCCAGCAGCCGCGGUAAUUC
rnacentral:rRNA from 1 species